UCCCGGGUAGCUCAACCGGCAGAGCGGGUGGCUGUUAACCACUAGGUUGGGGGUUCGAGUCCCUCCCCGGGAGCCA
rnacentral:tRNA from 1 species